rnacentral:antisense_RNA from 1 species
GAUAGUGUUCCAGACAGUUUUAUCAUCCACAUUGCUGACCUGGAAGAUGCAUCAUUGUCUAUGAUAUCUGCAAUGGAAAUGAUCACUAGGCAAUUUCAGCCUUGCAAAUCUAACUGUGGCGUGUGGAAAGAAGAGGAACCAGAAAAGAAUAUGUUUGUGAAGUUCUGGCUUGAAUCUCGUGCCGGGAGUGUGAAGAAGGUCCUUGCUUCCCCUUCACCUUCUGCCAUGAUUGUAAGUUUCCUGAGGCCUCCCAGCCAUGCUUCCUGUUAAGCCUGUGAAACUCCUUUGGAAUGAGUACACAUCCAGGAGUGAAGAAGACAAGCUCAACUGCCAUUCUCUGAGCAGUUCAAGGCAUACUGAGGUGCGGGAGUUGUGUGGUGGUCCACUCUGACUGCAAGCACCCCUUUCUUGAACCGAACAGAGUCAAGUGGAAUCAAAGGACAUUACCUGUUGAUUCUUGGGCAAGGCCCAGAAUUUGGUGGACAUACUUAAAGAAGAAAGGAAUCUUCAGCUAAAGUGUCUACGAUCAAUUCAGAUUUGGAGGGCAUGGAUCUUCUGACAGUAGGGGCCUUUCUAGGAUUUUUUGGUUGAAGAGAUGAACUUCAACUUGGUUCCAGAUUGGUGGUCCAGCUAUUCUGCUGGCAACAUUUUUCAGGGCAAGGCUUUUGCUACUGGAAUGAUUUAAGGAAGAUCCCUCAGUGUUUCAGAGUAAAGAUAUUUCUAAAGAAGUACCUGUGUCAUUGCCCAUCUUGAAGAUUGACUUUUAUGGAUUGCUCAAAUACUGAUAUCGGCUCAAUGUCAAUAUAUACUCCUACAUACAAAAUCCAUCUUCUAAUCAUAAUCACUAGGUUUUAACCAUUUAAGGCCAUGAGGUGUGAGGUCUUUUGAGAGUGAAAGAACUCAUAUUAAUCCAGCUCCUGACUCCUAAAAAAACAGUAACUCUUGUAAUUAAAAUGGGCAGAGUCCAUCAAGAAGCAGUGUCCAGAAGCACUGGGCCAUGUGGCGGGCAGCAGUGUCACCAGGAAACAUGCUGAGCUGGGUCAGGAACUGCGCAAGGAGGAGGAGACACUGCUCCUGUUGAAGGCAGCCCUCGCAUGACCUGCUGAAUCACAUCAAGGUUGAAGCAUUGGCCCUCCAAUCAAUGAUUAGUUCUAGGAGAGGGGAUGAGGUGCUGUCUUCUCCAACUUCUCCAACUGUGCCUGAACAGUCACACGUCAUGUCAGUGCAUAUAGAGAAUGAAGCAUCAGUCAACCAAACUACGCUGGAGUGGAGCAUAGAGUCCUGUGACAGAAGAAGAGGAGGAAGAGAAAGAAGAAUCAGAUCCCUAAAGGAGGGAAAAAGCCAGGAUUCGUUAUACAAAUUAAAUUUCUAAGUCUCAGGCUCUUUCUCCCCAAGGAAAUCAUCUUGCCAUGAGCCCUAGGGCCUGCUUGAAUGGAGAGCAAGAACUAUAGGAGGAUGUGUAGCUGCAAAAAUUUCUCAUCAAUAACUCAAUCUUCAGAACGUUAUGACAUACAGAAAAUCAAAGAUGCUGUGUCUUAGCAUUGAGCAAUAUGGGUGGUGCUAUGUCUGUAGUCUGGUCAAAUUCAGUAACUGUUCAAAACAAAAUUUCCUCUGGAAUACUAUUGAGAAAAUCUGGCAUUUGCAAAAAGGGCAGAGUUUAAAUAUGAGUCAGUCUUUCCAAUCAACAAUACCUCUUUUAAGAAAACCAACUAAAAGCUGUUUGCAUGCCGUUGAAUCCUUGUGAGCAGUUAGGCCACAGUCUAGGACAGAAAGAUGACACGGGGAAGGACUGAGGGCCAUCUGAGAACAAAGGUUGUUGCUACUUCUCAGAGUCAUUGAGACACACUGCAUGCUGUAGACUGCUUUGUGUAGCUGUUAUCACAUCUUGCUUGAGAUGUCAUUGGCAGAAUGUUCUUGGAAAUAAAUUAUAGAUAAAUAGCCA